rnacentral:lncRNA from 1 species
CCCAGAAUGCUGGCAGUCCUGAGAUGUGUACACACACUGGCCCUGGGGCAUUGGCUGCAGGGAGCCAGGCUGAAAGGAGAAAGGAACAGGCAAGGCACUAGGAAAAACUUAACAGGAUGCAAACUCCUGGGUUUGCACUUUCUCUUUCCUGGCUGUGACUUUGUGACUGCUGCUUCCUAAUCCACCUAGUGCUACAGAGAGAAACAGCUGGGAGAAGGGGCAGGGGAAAGAACAGACCUGGGGGCAAGUGGGUCUGGGAUUGCUGAACCUCGGCUUGAUGUUUCCUACCCAACUGGAGGUGCCAGGGCAGCUUUAUCUUUUCCUUUGAAGACUGCAGUGAGUUCCUGGGUGCGGGUUUUGCUCCCUUCAUGGUAUGUAUAUCUACACGCCCUAAUGCAAUCAUCUAGCUACAAUGGUAAUCUGAGACCCAGGCAGCACUUAUGUGGGCACCCGGCUGCAGCCAGGAUGGGAUAAUGAAACGUCAGUGAGCUGGAGACAGAUCUGGAAGAAAUGCAGAAGAAAGGAGCUGGAAGUGACCACUGUCCAGGUUGUGUUUGCUCCCAUGUCUUUUCCAAGGAGGAAGAUCACUGGAGUUCCUGGUAGCAGUUCUGUCCUUCCAGCCACCUGCCUGGAUGAAGCUUUGCAGCUGCCUGACUCAACAUCUCUGGUGGCUCCCAUAGAUCCUGGCUUCUUGGGAAGUUUGCUCCUGAUCUUGUUCCUGCUGAGGACGCUGCUGAAAUGUGCAGCUCCUUUCCCCUGCUGCUUUCCCCAGACCCGCAGCAGGUGCUGCAGGCCGUGCAGGGCCUAGUGGCUGAGCUGCACAAGGACAAGGAAGGCAUGNACAAAGAAAGCAUUCUGGAGGUUCUCUUGGGAGACGCUGAGUGCGAAGAGUAUCUGGGGGCUCUUUGUAGACUCCUGGCUGCUCCCAAAGUGAGGCUGUGCAGCAACGUUGCCUACAUCCUGGGCACCAUCGCCGAGAAUGAGAGUGGGGCAGCACGCCUGGUGGCACUGGCAGGCUCGGGCUCCGAGGGGCUCCUGGAUAGCCUGAGCGCCAUGCUGACCUGGGACGACCCAGAGGCUGUGAUGAACGCGGCAGGUACCCUGGGCUCCCUGGCAGAAACAGGUCCCAGCCGGCAGUGGCUGCUCCAAGCCCCAAAAGCUGACGAGAUUGUCGAGAAGCUCAUGGCUCUGCUAGGCUCGACUGACGAAGGCACGGCAAGCAACGCUGCCCUGGUGCUGGCCCGAAUCGCCGGCUCCCAGGAGGGCUGCGUGAAACUGCUGGGCCACCCCCACUUCCAGCACCUCCUGAGACAGCUGAUCGCUUCCCUGAAGGCGGAGGAAGCAGGCUGCAGCAUGAACGCUGCCUUCACGCUGGGGCGCCUGUGUGAUACGGACGUCGGCCUGCGGCAGCUCUUUGCCCUCCCUGAAGUCUCCAGCAUGAUCCAUGCCCUGGUGUCCAUGAUGGCCAACGCGGAGGCAGCAGGGAGCCGGAACGCCUGCUUUGCUCUCAGCUGCAUGGCUGCCAACAAGGAGGGGCAUGACCACGUGCUGCAGAGCCCUGCCUUCCCCCGGGCUUUGGAUACGCUGUGCCGCCUGCUUCGCGCCGAGGAGCAGGAGUCCUCCUGGUUUGCUGCCAUGACCAUGCGUGUGCUCGCCAGCCAGCCCAAGGGGGUGAUGACACUAAGAGAGCACCCAGAGCUGGAACUCCUCCUGCAGGAAGUGGCUGCCUCAGAGACAGUAGGAGAAGAGCUGCUAGAGGAAGUGACUGGCACCCUGGCCAAGCUCCAGCGCCUCCCGAAACCCCCACCACCAGACGCCAAAGUUCUGGAUUCUGGUUCAAUCCAGGUGGCCUGGGAAAGUUUCAGGCCUCAGAGCAGCCUUGAGGUCAAUUACAGGCUCUACGAGGGGGGCGCCCUGCUGUACCGAGGGCCAGCGCUCAGCUAUGCUUUUGCGGGUGGCAUGCCAUGCCAGGAAUACCGCUUUCAACUCUGUCUUGAGGUGAGGGGUGACCGGGGGCCAUGCAGCGAUGCUACGGUGCUGCCCAGAGAAGAGCCGGUGCCCAGUUGCCCCUUGGACUUCCGCGUGACAGCUCGCACGGCCACCCAGUUAAAAUUGAGCUGGGCCCCUCCAGCCGAGUCCAACGGCCCCAUCAAACACUACACCGUGUACAGGGAGGAGGCCCUGGUGGGCUCCACCCCAGAACUCAGGUGUGUUGUGGGAGGCUUGGCCCCUUCUGCGAGCUACCGGCUCAGCGUCUGCGCAUGCACCAGCAAAGCCCAGGGAGAGAAGGCCACCCUGCUCACCAAGACCAUGUCCCUGAGGGGCCACGCUCCGGAGAGGUUAACCCUUGUAGUGCUGGGGCGCAGUGAGAUUUUUGUGAGGUGGGAUGUGCCCAAAGCGCCCCUGGGACGCUUCUUUAACUAUGAGCUGUGCCUGAAUGGGGAGGUGGUGUACCUGGGCACGGGGCGCUCCUACAUGGCCCGCAGGCUAAGGGCCAACACGGCAUACACCUGCACCGUCAGUGCCCUCACCAGCGCGGGGCGCUGCAUCAGCCGGCCAGUCACCAAACGCACGCCCAGGGAUGAGUACAGCGAUGUCAGCAGAUGCCAUUACCCCUCCCCGGGGAGCAGGCAGCCUGCCACAGCCUCAGCACCCAGCGAGACUCCGGAAAUCCCUCAGGAGCCAGGAAGGCGCAGAGGCAAUGCAGAGGAGUCUCUCAAACCUUCCCCUGCCAGGACCCCGAGAGCUCCUCUCCUGCUGAGAGGAAGGGCGAGUAAAUCCUGGGAGAGCAAGAGCAGCGCGAAACCCACUGCCACGCCCAGGAGAGACCCUUUGUCCUGUUCCAGACAGCCAAGCCAGGCGAUGCGAGCUGCUGGCCCCUCCAAGGCUGCCCUACUUCCCAGGCUGCGGGCACCUGACCCAAAGAGCCUCCCCAGGCAAAGCGCGCUUUGGCCCAGCGGAGAGAACAGCUCAGUCAGACCUGGGACUCCGAGCAAAACGCUCUUCCCAGAGGUACGAGCAAUAUCUGUGCCGGUGCAGGGGACAUCGUGUGUCUGUGUGUGUGCGUGUGUGCGUGUAUGU